CCCUUAGAUGUCCGGGGCCGCACGCGCGCUACACUGAAGGAAUCAGCGUGGCUUUCUCCCUGGUCCGAAAGGACCGGGAAACCCGUUGAAUCUCCUUCGUGAUAGGGAUUGGGGCUUGAAAUUGUUCCCCAUGAACGAGGAAUUCCCAGUAAGCGCGAGUCAUAAGCUCGCGUUGAUUACGUCCCUGCCCUUUGUACACACCGCCCGUCGCUACUACCGAUUGAAUGGUUUAGUGAGAUCCUUGGAUCGGCCCUGUCGCGGCUGGCAACGGCCGCGUCGGCGCGUCGAGAAGACGAUCAAACUUGAUCAUUUAGAGGAAGUAAAAGUCGUAACA
rnacentral:rRNA from 1 species